rnacentral:rRNA from 1 species
UACGGAGGAUGCAAGCGUUAUCCGGAAUUACUGGGCGUAAAGCGUGCGCAGGCGGGCUUUUAAGCCAGACGUGAAAUCCCCGGGCUCAACCUGGGAAUGGCGUUUGGGACUGGAAGUCUGGAGUGCGGCAGAGGAGACUGGAAUUCCUGGUGUAGCAGUGAAAUGCGUAGAUAUCAGGAGGAACACCGAUGGCGAAGGCAGGUCUCUGGGCUGACACUGACGCUCAUGCACGAAAGCGUGGGGAGCAAACAGG